rnacentral:tRNA from 1 species
CUCGCGCGAGGAGCUGGUCUCCUGGUUCGAGGUCGGCUGCAAGCCGGUCGAAAGCUUCCGGAUCGGGACCGAGCACGAGA